rnacentral:rRNA from 1 species
CAGUCGCCACGGUAAUACGAAGGGUGCAAGCGUUAAUCGGAAUUACUGGGCGUAAAGCGUGCGUAGGCGGUUUGUUAAGUCUGUUGUGAAAUCCCCGGGCUCAACCUGGGAAUGGCAAUGGAUACUGGCAAGCUAGAGUGUGUCAGAGGAUGGUGGAAUUCCCGGUGUAGCGGUGAAAUGCGUAGAGAUCGGGAGGAACAUCAGUGGCGAAGGCGGCCAUCUGGGACAACACUGACGCUGAGGCACGAAAGCGUGAGGAGCAAACAGGAUUAGAUACCCCCGUAGUCCCUGUCUCUUAUAC